rnacentral:rRNA from 1 species
CCUGGGUUUGACAUGCACAGGACGACGGCAGAGAUGUCGUUUCCCUUGUGGCCUGUGUGCAGGUGGUGCAUGGCUGUCGUCAGCUCGUGUCGUGAGAUGUUGGGUUAAGUCCCGCAACGAGCGCAACCCUUGUCUCAUGUUGCCAGCACGUAAUGGUGGGGACUCGUGAGAGACUGCCGGGGUCAACUCGGAGGAAGGUGGGGAUGACGUCAAGUCAUCAUGCCCCUUAUGUCCAGGGCUUCACACAUGCUACAAUGGCCGGUACAAAGGGCUGCGAAGCCGCGAGGUGGAGCGAAUCCUUUAAAGCCGGUCUCAGUUCGGAUCGGGGUCUGCAACUCGACCCCGUGAAGUUGGAGUCGCUAGUAAUCGCAGAUCAGCAACGCUGCGGUGAAUACGUUCCCGGGCCUUGUACACACCGCCCGUCACGUCAUGAAGUCGGUAACACCCGAAGCCGGUGGCCUAACCCGCAAGGGAGGGA